GGAAAUUAGCUUCGGUUAAUUUUAGUGGCGGACGGGUGAGUAACACGUGAGAAUUCGCCUUUAGGAGGGGGAUAACGGAUGGAAACAUUCGCUAAAACCCCAUAUGCCCCUGGGUGAAACAGAGGAGAUAAGUAAUACUGAUUCACCUCUGCCUGAAGAGAAGCUCGCGGCUGAUUAGCUAGUUGGUAGGGUAAAGGCCUACCAAGGCGACGAUCAGUAGCUGGUCUGAGAGGACGAUCAGCCACACUGGAACUGAGACACGGUCCAGACUCCUACGGGAGGCAGCAGUGAGGAAUUUUCUGCAAUGGGCGAAAGCCUGACAGAGCAAUACCGCGUGAGGGAUGAAGACUUACUGAGUUGUAAACCUCGGUACCUUAAGGAAGAAGAUCUGACGGUACUUAAGGUGGAAAGCAUCGGCUAACUCCGUGCCAGCAGCCGCGGUAAGACGGGGGAUGCAAGUGUUAUCCGGAUUUACUGGGCGUAAAGCGUCUGCAGGUGGUUUCUUAAGUCUACUGUUAAAUCUUGAGGCUCAACCUCAAAUCUGCAGUAGAAACUAGGAGACUUGAGUAUAGUAGGGGUAGAGGGAAUUUCCAGUGGAGCGGUGAAAUGCGUAGAUAUUGGAAAGAACACCGAUGGCGAAGGCACUCUACUGGGCUAUUACUGACACUCAGAGACGAAAGCUAGGGGAGCAAAUGGGAUUAGAUACCCCAGUAGUCCUAGCCGUAAACGAUGGAUACUCGAUGUUGGACGUAUCGACCCGAGCCGUGCCGAAG
rnacentral:rRNA from 1 species